UACAGAGGUCUCAAGCGUUGUUCGGAUUCAUUGGGCGUAAAGGGUGCGUAGGUGGCGGGGCAAGUUGGAUGUGAAAUCCCGGAGCUUAACUCCGGAACUGCAUUCAAUACUGCCUUGCUAGAGUACUGGAGAGGAGAUUGGAAUUACGGUGUAGCAGUGAAAUGCGUAGAUAUCGUAAGGAAGACCAGUGGCGAAGGCGGAUCUCUGGACAGUUACUGACACUGAGGCACGAAGGCCAGGGGAGCAAACGGG
rnacentral:rRNA from 1 species